UACGUAGGGUCCGAGCGUUGUCCGGAAUUACUGGGCGUAAAGAGCUCGUAGGUGGUUUGUCGCGUUGUCCGUGAAAACUCACAGCUCAACUGUGGGCGUGCGGGCGAUACGGGCAGACUGGAGUACUGCAGGGGAGACUGGAAUUCCUGGUGUAGCGGUGGAAUGCGCAGAUAUCAGGAGGAACACCGGUGGCGAAGGCGGGUCUCUGGGCAGUAACUGACGCUGAGGAGCGAAAGCGUGGGGGAGCGAACAGG
rnacentral:rRNA from 1 species